rnacentral:rRNA from 1 species
AGCGAACGCUGGCGGCAGGCCUAACACAUGCAAGUCGAACGAAGUCUUCGGACUUAGUGGCGGACGGGCGAGUAACACGUGGGAACGUACCUUUUGGUUCGGAACAACUCAGGGAAACUUGUGCUAAUACCGAAUGUGCCCUUCGGGGGAAAGAUUUAUCGCCUUUAGAGCGGCCCGCGUCUGAUUAGCUAGUUGGUGAGGUAAAGGCUCACCAAGGCUACGAUCAGUAGCUGGUCUGAGAGGAUGACCAGCCACAUUGGGACUGAGACACGGCCCAAACUCCUACGGGAGGCAGCAGUGGGGAAUCUUGCACAAUGGGCGAAAGCCUGACGCAGCCAUGCCGCGUGGAUGAUGAAGGUCUUAGGAUUGUAAAAUCCUUUCACCGGUGAAGAUAAUGACUGUAGCCGGAGAAGAAGCCCCGGCUAACUUCGUGCCAGCCGCCGCAGUAACAC